ACGUUGAAAAAAUCACACUUAUACAAAAUGAUCUACUUGUAAGAAUCCAAUAUUUUAAAAAAAUGUUUGACCUCUAAUAAUAGUACCUAUAUUGUGUUUUUAGCGCCAGCAAAAUGAAUUGGAUUUGUUAAUAGAAAAAUCAAAACAAGUUGUUGAUAAAGUUGGCAUAAAUAAUGAAAUUCAAUCUGAAACAGACUCACUCAUAAAACAAUGGUCAGAGCAUGGAAAAGCAAUGUCAUCUCGAAUAAUUUUAUUAACAGAAGUAGGUGAUAAUUGGAAAACCAUUGAAGACGAGUACAGACAGAUUGAAAACGAAUUAACUCGCAUUAAAGAUGUUUUAACGAAUGUUGAUCAAGUAAUUAGAUCCAAAAAUCAAUUGGAAGAGUCAUUAUAUUCAUUACAUGUAAGAUUGAAAUAUUACCUAAUUUUUUUAAUCAAACCUAUGAUGCUAAUUUUUAAUUUAUUUAUAGAAACUUAAAGAGAAUGUAGAGUUAUGUAGUGAGAAACUCAAUAGUACUAAUUCAAUUGGUGAAAGUGUUAAAAUAUUUUUAAGCUCGGAAUAUCAACUAGCAUUUACCACUUUACAAGAAGACAUAAAAUCACAUGAUAAUAAAUAUACUGCGUAAGUUAUAUUACUUUAGAUUUAUAAAAAUAUAAUGCAAUUAAUUAGGUAUUACUUAUGGUUUACAUUCUGAGUACACUGAUAUAUUGCAUAUAAAUUGUGUUUUUAUUUUCCGUUUCUUAUGUCUGUGAUCAACAUUUCUACUAGAAAUCUUGCUCCGAUUUUCAAAUAUAGCAUCCUUUCUGAAAAAAAUUGUGUACAGUUGGUGCAAAAGAUGAUAAUUUUAAAUUUUCCUCUAAGUUUUCUUAAUAAUUGGGUUACCAGGAAACAGGAAAACAUAUAAAAACAAGGGUAAAAUGUAUGAUAAUUCUAAUUUCAUGAUUUAAAUUUUUUUUUUUAUAAUUCGGAAUCAUUAAACUAGCCAUUUUCAGAAGUAGCUAUAUAAAACAUUCUGGUAAUGUAAGAGCUAUUUAUAUAAUAAAAAUUGUUGAUACUUAAACUUUUAUUUGGUUUUAUGUGGAUUAAAUAAUUGUUUUGGCUGAGCAGAAUUUUUUUUUAAAUUCAAUUAGUUGGGUAUCAUUAAAUAGAUAAAUAAUGUGACUAUAUAGUUUUUCAACCAUAGUUUUGACUUUGAAACCUAUACUUUUAAGGAAUAAACAGUUUUCAAAUUUUGUUAAGCAUUUGACCUACUAAGAAAUUAAUGUGUUCAAUGAAUAUUACAUCUAUACUUGCACUGUUAUUUAUUAUGUUUUAUAUUUGUCAUAUUAUGUAACUUCAAUGCUUAUGACUAAAUGGUUUUUUAAUAUAAAAUUAAUAAACAUUAAUUAUUCAAAAAUAAUUAAUUAUAACCUCAUAUAUAUUACAAUAUUUGCGCUAUGUAUCUUUAUAUGUAUUUUAAAAAUAUUGCUUUGGUGUUUAUGUAAAUAAAUAGAUUUACAUAUUAUUAUUUCUGAUAAUUUAUUAUGUGUUUAAGUAUUUAUAAGUUGGUAAUAUUAUAAAUUAUUUAUUAUUUAUGGAUAUAGGUACUUAUUCUUGGUGUAUAUUAAACAGACUUAAGUUACAUAUUAAUUAAUAUGUUGCGCAAUUAGGUAAUUCUUGUAUUUAGCCAAUAUUAAAUGUUAUUAAAUUGAAGAAAAUUACAUUAUUUUACUAAAAAUUUUAAUUAUAGGUACUAUUCCUUGAAUUUUAAAUAAUUAUUUAAAAUUAUGAAUUUAUUGAAAAUAAAAAGUUCACCAUUCAAAAUUUUCAAAUUAUUAAACUCUAUAAAAUGGCCAUCUUCAAGUUUUUUGAGAAUAUUAAAAUCAAAGUUAUUUUUUUAGUUUUUUACCAAAAUAAAAAUUGUAUUUUAAAUAUAAAUAUUUGUAAUCCUUAUCCCUGCGAAUAAUGCAUAUAAAAAAAAAAAAAAAAAAAAAAAAAAAAACAGAAUUUGAUCAUAUUUAUUAUUUUAAGAGAUAUUCUAAUGGAAAUAUCUUUGUGGGAUACCCUGUAUAGUUAUUCUUAUUAGUUACCCAUAAAAUGGAUUCCAUUAACAUUUUCAAAGUCAUAUAGGACUGUAUAAUGUAUACUCACAAUUUAUUGAUAAUUAUAAUUUGUAAAUAAAUAAAAUAAAUAAGGAUGCAAAUUUUUAAAUUUUAUUUUAUAACUCAAUUUAUUAUUGGGCAUUAUUUUAUUUUUUUGUCAAAUUUUUAUCAAAAAUAAAAUUGUAAUGUAUAAUAUUUAACUGUCAAUAUAAUAUAUUCACAAUGUAAUUAUAUAAUAUAUUAUAUAUGUCAAUUAUUCUGAAAAAUAUGUUUGUUUAGGUUUUUUCGGAAUGUUCUUUUGAUUAGUAAAAAUGCUCAGAUCUUUUUAUGAAGUGCUCUGAAGCAACAGUUUUCAUUUUUGUGUUCAUAUCAAUUUACACAUUUUAAAAUGUUUCAUAUACCACUUGACACAGUUAUUAACCUUUUUUUUUUCUUAUCAACAAAUAAAUUGUGUAUAUUUUUUUUUGAACUUUUUAUUACUAAAUCUACAUAAUUAUGAUUAUUUAGAGCACAGUAGUAUAACUAAAUAUCUACAGUUAUUAUUAUUAUUAUUAUUUAAUAAUGAAUAACAUUAUAAAUACUAACUUUAACUUUUUUUUUAAUUAUCAAAAAAUGUCUUCGCGAAAUGGUACGUUUACCAUAGGUUGAGAACCGCUGCCCUAUAGGAUUUGGAUGUUUCAACCGGUAAUACUUUAAACAUUUUUUGACAUUUUUUACAGUUCUUUUAUUACUUUCUUUUUUUUUUUCUUGGAAAAUACUUCUUCGGUUAAUUAAAAUGCUUUAAAAUGUUCAUAUCAUACAUUAGAUAUGUGGUCUUUCCCCCAGUGGUACUUGAUUUGAAACAUUUUUCUAGAUUAUCAACUAAUUUAAUAAAUAUUUAACAACAAAUAUUAUAUUAUUACUUAUUAUGAUUUUAUAUAACAUUUUAUAAUAAAAUGUAUUUUUGGUACAAUUUUAUUUGGUGAUUCAAAAUAAGAUAUUAAAAGUAUGCUUGUAUUAACCAUUGUGGAAUGAACAGUUCAUAUAAUAAAUAAUAUAAAUAUAUAAUAUACAGUGCGUUUUAAAUUUUUAAUAACAUGCGAUACUUACUUAGACCUAUUAAGCAUAUUAAAAAUGUAUAUGUGAAUUAAUUAUUAGGACUGUACGUUUAUGAUGGUAUAUGACUCAUAUCCAUAAGCAUUAUUAUUUUUUUACUUUUAACACAUUGACAUGCUGCCAAACAAUAAAUAUAUGAGACCACUUAAUUGCUUAUGCCGUACUUACUUCUCAGGUAUCUACACAAAGUAUUAUAGUUUUCAAUUAUACACUGAUAUUAACAAUACAAUAGCCAAAUAUAAUUGAAAAUGUAAAAAUCAUUUUUGUAUGAUGUUAGAUUGUAACAUGUUACAAGUUGGAAUCAUAAUAUGAUAAACAAAUGAAACUGUAAUAAUAUAUAUAUAUACAAGGUACAAAAAAUGAUUUUCUCAAUGGAACUACCAGAAUAAAAAUUAUAUCUACAUAAUAUUUUUAUAGGUAAUUUUAUUAUAACAGAGAUUUAGUGUGUAUAGUAUAUUCUACAUAUGCGUAAAGCUUAUGCACUAUCAGAGAACAAAUGAUAAGUUACAGUUAGUUUUUGAUUUAAACUCGUACAUAAAAAAAAAGUAAUCAUAAAAACUCAUAAACCAUUAUAGACAUUCAUAUUGUCGAGAUUUUUUGAUGUAAAAAUUUACUCAAAACACUAGACUAAAAUUAAACAUUUGCAUCGUUAUAGUUAAGUGUCGAAUAAUUGGUGGCUGUCCAAAACGUAUAUGUAUAAUUAUAGCACUGGAAUAUGUUACCAGAUUUAAACUAAUAAACUGUCGGCAUUUUUUAGUACGUGCCUACUUGUGUAGAAGGAAAAAAAGUGUGCAAUUUCGGAUCUUGUGUAUUCCAUUUGAACAUUUGUGUUUCAGUCUCGCGUCUCAGUUGAAUAAUUUACUGUGCCAAUUCGAAGAAAAUUUGAAUGACUUCAAUAAAAUUGAAGCCAGACUAGACGAAUUAGAAUCAUCUUUGAAUAGUUUAAAACCCGAAGUGGAAAGUUUCUAUGUGUUUGCCCAAGACACGGAAGCAACUCAAAAAGAAUUUGAUGUAAGUCUAUGUACGAUUAAAAUAUUAAUUAUUUAUAAUUAUGAAUUUGUGAAAAAUCAAUACUUGAAAAUGUAAUUUGCUUAGUCUGUAUUUUCUUAAUAAAUGUUUGUAAUAAAAACAUAAAUAAUUUUAAAUCUUUUUUUCAGGUUUUAUCAGAGAAAGUAAAAGAAGUUCAUAGGGUAUUGAAAAAUUUUAUCGAAUCCACGCAAGACAACUAUAUUUCGUCACAAAAACUAGUGCCAAACGAUUUGUUAAAUAAGGUAUGUUUAUAUUUACUCACUCAUGUAUUAUUUAUAUAUCUAAGCAUAGCUUUUGCAAGUUUAAUUUUUUUAUUAUACUACUUAAGUCAUAAUUAUGAUAAUUAUUAAUGAAUAGAAUAGAACAUAGUUGAGAAAUAAAAGCACAACGUUUUUGUGAUUUGGGCCAAACUAUGAUAAGCUCUGUAAAUAAGCAUUUAUUCUACGAUAUUAGACGAGGUGCUAGUAUUAUUUAUAUAACAUUUAACAUUUUAAAACAUAAUAUACUCUAUUUACUCGCAGUUAAGGAUAAAAUAAGAUUAUUAUGUUCUUGAAAAACGAAUUUACUAAAAUAGAUUUUGUUCAAAAUUAUUUACCUAAACGAUGUUUUUAUUUAUUAACGUGAUAAUGCUUUAUUAAUCUAUCUGAAGUAUCAUAAUAUAGUGUGUCUAAUUUACAAUUGAUGUAUAGGUACGUAAUUUUAUGAAGUUUGUUACUAUUUAAGUGCUUUUUAUUUCUAUACGACUAUAAAUCAAUUAACUAUUUAAUUCAUGUUUUUGCAUAUCUACUCGUUUACGUUUGUUGACAAGAACAACUAAAAACGCAAUAUAAUAUUACGAGCGCAUUGUAAAAAACGAGUUUUCAUAGUAGUAAUUAUAUACAUUCCUAUAUAGUAUACAGAUAUCUAGUAUAAAGUGUAUGCAAUUUGUAUAAAAAUAAUAUUUGAUAUUUUAUGUACCUAUAAUAAUGCUUAAGAAAGCGUGAAACAAGGUGAGGAUAAACCAUUUAAACAAUUAAUAAUUACCUACAAUGAAUAAAUAGAAAAAAAAGACAUGAUACUGCUGAUGGGUGUGCCACUGUUGUAGAUCGGAAGUUGGGAUAGAUGGAAAUUUUUAUAUAUUUGUAUGGAACGAUUAAUCACUGCAAAUGAAAAACGAUUCUGAGCGGAGCUCGGUUAAUAGUAUUACUUUUUCAACAAUUUGUGUUUUCAACAAUGAUUAUUUAAAAACAACAAUAAAAUAAAAAAUAAAUUUGAUAUUAAAAUUCCUUUGUAAAAAAAAAAAAAAAAAAAAAUACUACAUUAAGUUCAAUUUUUUUUUUAUCACAAAGACCGGCUUUUAAUGAACUUGUUAAAUUUUUAAGCAUUUCUACUUAGUUGUAUCGAUUUUAUCCACAAAGUACCUACUGAAUAAAAAUUACGUACAAAACUCGCAAUAUUAAAAUGUCUAUAAAUAACUCUAAAAUACCUAACAUUUUUUCAACAUUGUACCAUGUCUAGAAAAAUUAUAAACAAUAUUUUCUUUCGGAAAUGAUGCCACACUCACAUAUCGAAGCUAUUAAAUCAAGAGUUCUGGUGGAAAUUUUUGUCAUAGUAUAUAUAUAAAAAAAUACAUAAUUUUAAAACUAAUACAUUCUUCGUUAUAGAAUCUAAAAAAUACAUACCAUAGUAAAAUCAAUAUUAAACUUCAUUCCGCUACUAAUCUAAAACAAAACAAAGUAUCAAUAAUAAAUUAAAGUAAAAUCAAUGGAUCCCCAUUCCGUUCUGAAUUUAAAAUCAAAUAUUCAGUACCUACCUAUAUUAUUUUAAUCAUAAAAAACAUAUUACUGAGUUAUAUAAUAUUUGUCAAGUUAAAUUUAUAUUCAUAUUUAAUUAUUUACAUCGCCUUGAUAAACUAUACUAAAGUGUAUUUUUUUGUUUUGAUCGUGUAGCUAUCACUAGUUUACCUACUAGGUAUACAUUACAUAAACUAUAUUAUUAUCAGUAUUAGGUAUAAGAAGUAAACAUUGCAUCUGAAAAUGUUUUGAGUAAGUAAGCAAUAAAAAAAUAGUUGUUAAUGACUGGACUUUUUAUCUAUCUGUUACCUUCCCAACAUAUUUUAUGGUCACUUGGGCAUAAUAAUAAAAUAUGACAAUAAUUGAACAAUAAUACGUUUCAGUUGUUUUUUCCCUGUAUGCUGUCUGUUAAAAUACUUUUUAAAAUAGAUUCCAACUAGACGUUUGUUCCGAUAGUCCAGGGGUAUUUCCCAGUAGUAUUUUGAUUAUAUAGCAUUCGUCAAUGCACCAAUUGGUCGAUUUUUGAAAUUAUUUGUUUAGUUUUUUUAUAAUAGCUAGGUUACUUAUAGCUUAGGGAAAACUUACAAAACAUGACGAAAAAAUGGUACUAAUUUAUACGUGAUACUGGUUUUUGACAAAAUCGAUUUUUUUUCUUUUAUAAAAUCGUACAGGUAUAAAAUAUUCAAUAGAUAUAGAUAAUAUAGGUAAUAUAUUUAUUACCUAUAUAUUUGUUUAUAUGUUUAAGUUUGAUAAAAUUAUUAAUUCUUCGUAAAAGAAAAUAAAGUUCCUCGUACAGGUUACCCCACAUACCCAUUAUUACGAUAUCUCCUCAGAUAUUGAAGAUAAUCAAAUUUUUGAUCACCAUUGAUACUGGUUUUACCAUAGUGUUACUAUACUUCCGUCUUUUUAGUCCUGGAAUCCCUUCACCUAAUUCUUACUAGUUACAACGCUAUUUCAGCUUCACCUAUUCCUAACUCUUCACGCAUUUUAGAAAUUAGCUUUCAGGCGGUUGGAUGCGCGUGUCCGACGAGAUGCGUAAAAUAGUUAUUCCAACUAUCGGAAAUAUGGUUAGUACGAUGUUGAUGGCGGAUGCUUGUUGACAGAUCAUAAUUAAUUGAGUAUCCAACUAAUUAUUUCCUUUCCCGAUUUCAAAAUCACUACUUCCAUUUCGGUGUACAUAACUGCAAGAUUGGACGAUUUGAUUUCUUAUGUGUUAUCGUGCAAUUGAUUUUAUAUAUUCUAUGUUGGGUAUUUCAUAUAUUAUCUUAUAAUAUUAUAUAGAUUAAUUUUGCUAUCUUUAUUACGUCAUUACCUUCUAAUGUACAUUAUUUAUCUAUUUACCUUACCUACCUAUGUUUUCGAUUACUGUUGGUUAGGUAUAAGAACAAAUUAAACCGGAUUUUAUUCCGUUUAGUCAAUUUGUGGUUGAACUUUUUUUCCGAAUAAAAUUAAGUAGGCCUUUUGUUCCAUUUAUUUUUCACCCUAGGAUUUUUUUCCCAGUAUUCAUCAAAAUACAAUUUUGUUUAAUACCUACACUAUAUUUCUGUAAACUAAAAAAUCAUAAAAAAAACACGAGACUAGUCAAAUAAAGUUUGAAACGUUCAUAUUUUCAGAAGAAUAAACUCUAUAAAAUAUUUAAAUCUUAUAUUAUUAAAUGUUCAAUUUAAAUACUUGUAAGGUUUGCAAAUUUAAUAUAUAUGGUUCCUAAGCGUAAAUGACGUACUAAUUUUUUAUGGACGUUUAAAAUUAGACGAAAUAUUUUAUGGUUAUCUAAACAAAAAAUGACGAUUUCCCCUCCUGAUAUUAUUAUGUUUUGUCGUAAUUUAAUAAUUAUGUAUGUUAAUGAGGAUAUAAUUAUUUUUAUGUUUAUUAUGUGUAUAUGUUUUUAUGUUUUAACCGAGCUCUUUAAACGAACUCAGAAUCGUUUUAUAUUCGCAAUGAUUUAUCGUUGAUAAUAACAAUAUUUCAGCUAAAUUACACAAUAGUGUAAGAUACCAAAACUUCACACCUAUUUUACAAUAUUGACCUAUACAUAUAAUCUAUGCCACGGAGUAUACAGGUUUUUUUUUCAAAUAAUAAAAAAAAAACAAAUAUAGUUAUGAUAAACAGAAUUGUUUUUUAAAACUAAAUAGCUAUACUUAUUGUUAAAUUAAAUAUAAUUAAAUAUCAGUACAUUUGAUAAAAGUGAUAUUUUAUUAUUAUGUGUUAAGAUUCAUUAUUGUCUCCAUAAAACAACAACCGAUAAUAAAGAAACACAUAUAUUUAAAUAUAAACACAAACAUUUAGACUUUGUAAGAAAAAAAAAAAUUAUCAACAAAUAUUGUCGCGUUUUUCUAUUGAGCAUACGAAGUUCACACCAUGCUGUCUAAUCUUGUACAUUCGAUCACGUUCCGCUAUUGAUAUAUUGUAAGCAAAUUGUUUUCAAAUUUGGUCGUGCAUUCAUUGUGUUAUUGUAGGUAUACCUAAUCAGGUGUCUGGAGGUAUUUGUAGUCCGCUACUUGCGCUCUCCGGGUAUUUUUUUUAUUUUUAGUCCAAAUUAAUUAUGUUGGAAUUUUUUUUCUUGAUUGUUCAUCGUGUUUAAGAACGAUUCACUCCCAAGGCCUCUCUAUUCGGUGAUGAAUAAGGUACAGUACGAUACUACAUGUACCUACCUACAUGUCGCAAGGAGACAAAUGACCACGCCUACCUGUAAAAUUACGUUUUCCGUCUGGGCGUCUGAACUGCUAUUAUUAUUAUUAUUUUUUUUUUCAUUAUUUUGUCGGUUCAUAUUUCGUAUGGUUUAUUGUCGAAAAUAUAUAUCCCAUAUAAAUAACUGUCGCAAACAUUUUCAAGUGUCGAUUUGUUAAAUAAUAAUUUUUGAAAAUAUACAAUUCGUACGAUAUGUCGUUCGCCAAAACAGUGCGUACCGCAAUCGAUUAUAAUAUAAAUAACUGUAAGUAAAAAUUUGAUUGAUUUUAACCGGUGUUUGUUUGGUUUUUUUAUUUUUAUUAUUAUUUUUGUAUGAGCUCACCGUGUAAAAUAGCUUCGGUUUUUAAUUUAUUCUCAAGUGUUGCCAUCAUGUACCUUCCCGUCUGACCUUCAAACAGGUACCUAAUAUAUUAUAUAUAUGUAUAUGUCAUCAUCCAAACAAGUAUUUAUAAUAUAUUUUGCAACUUUUUUGUAGAAUUUUCUUUUUAAUUCACACAAUUAAUAUUAUGUCUUAUUAUUUACUUUGUUAAUAAUAUUGUAGUAUGCAACGUUGAUAUUAUAAUAAUAUAAUAUACCUACUUACCAGCAGGAGCAAAUUGUUUUCUGCUGGAAAUUUGAAACGAACCGGACCAUGAACCAUUGAAGCGGUUAAUGAUUUAAGACCUAUAGCCGAUAGGGAAAUAAAUUCGUUUAUAAGUAUAUAGGUAGUAGUAGUAACCUACUCGACGUAAUGAUUUUCAUAUAGUUUAGUCGUGCCGUUAAUUGUAAAUAAUUUGAACUUUUAUAAUUUGAAUUCUUUAAUAUAAAUGCAGAAAUAUUUACAGGUAUACUUACAAAAAAAUGAAUUAAAAAAAAAAUGCUACAGCAAAUUUUUUCUAUUUUAAUUCCAUAUAUGUAUUAUUUUUAUAUUAUGACGUAAAACAUCAUAAUAUUAUAAACUAGAUCUUAUGAAAAAGAUAAAUAAACAAACUACUUAUUUAUAUAUACCUAUACUUAGGACCUUUUUCAUCAACUUACUAUUAAAUGCUUUCACUCAUAUGAUUUUAAACUGAGUUUAUGGCAGUUCAUAACUGAUCACGAUUGGUCGGUUACCUACCUAUCUUAUAAAUUCCGUUUAGAACAAACGUUUAUGUUGGUGAAAACGGCCCUUAGUAUUUACGAUUGAUUUGCAUCCUUACUAAAUAAAUAAUAACCUAGUUAUGUAACGAUCCCUAGAUAAAUUACAUUUAUUUAUUUUGCUCUUUAUUUACUGUCUCGGAAGUCUCUAAAUAAUAUUAUUACUAUAUAGUCAGUUCACAGUUCCUUCUUAUUUAUAGUAUAUAUUUUUUAAAAGAGUGUAGUUUUUGUAAGACUCGAAAGAAAUAAAAAAAAAAAAAAAUAAUAAUUCCAGGAUUUUAUUAAUUUGGCACAAUGACAAAUACUUAUGUAAUCAGUUUUGGCUUAACUAAAUGAAAAACAUUUAUAUCGACUAUAAUAAUAAUAAUAAUAAUCAUACAGUUUUGCAUACAUAGCUACCUCCAAAGCAACUUAUUUUAUAUGAUGUAUUUUAAUUUGAUUAUAAUUAUGUAUAUACUACGUAGGUAGGUAUAUUACGGUAUUAAUUUAUUAACCAUUGAAAAAUAUAUUUUAAAUUAAUUUGAUCUGAACUUUUAUCGGUUAAAAAUGUUAGUCGCUCUUAUUGAGUUGCAUUCAUCCACGAGUAGUUAAAUUAUAUUUUUGACUGAUAAUAUAUUGUCGUUAAAAACAAGGUUAUACGAGAUAAAAUAUUGCUUUAAAUUAUUUUUUAAUAUAUUAUGACGUUUAACUAUAUUAUUAGUUCUAUAGAUGAACCUCGGUAUGUGUUUAUGGAUAACUAUAUUUAUAAGAAACGAAAUAAUAUUUGCACUGGUAUAAACAAAAUAUCGAAGUAUUAUAAUUUAUGUAAAUAGCAUAGAUACUGAAUUAUACUGAUCGAUAAAUAUAUAUUAUACAUGCGGUAGUUAGUAACAUUAUUGGACCCGUUCCAUCUAAUUUUCAGAUAUUAACGUACCUUUAUUGGCGUGGCUUUGGUCUAUUUAUUUUUUGUAAAAAAACGUCUUAGUGUAUAAUAUUGUUAAUAUUUUUCCACCUUAAAUCUAUCGGUAUAAUAAUAUUAUUACAGAAUGUAUAGUGUAUUUGUUUAUUCCGAUACUAUUUUGGCUUUUAUAAACAGCAAGUAGGUAGAGUAAAUUAGUGUAUAGUGUUUUGUUGUCUACCUAUAUUAGAUUGCAUUUCAUUUCCGACUCAAAAAUGCUUAACAUCAAACGAUUUCGUAAUUAUAAUAUUAUGCUUAAAAAAAAUGCAAUUUUAGUAAAUAUUAUUAGGUGUACUUUUGAAAUAAUAUUUUUAAACAUAUCCCGUACGUCUAAUAUCCAAAUAUAAUAUUUUUAAACAAAAGAACGCGUAUAAGAAAACGCAUUAUUAUACGAUAUACUUACCCAUAGGUAAGUACUUAAUACGAAUUAUUUGUUUACAAAGAAUAAACGUGAACAUUUUUGUUGUGGGUGAACAAUCACGUAUAGUUUUUGAUUGGUCCAUCAAUGAAAUUAUAUAACCGCGGAGGUCAAACAUUCGAAACAUAUUACACUAGGUUUGUCUGUUUGAUAUUAUAUUCAGACCGUCAAAUUAUGCGUUUGUAUAUUACCGAAGACUUAUAAAUAAAACGUCCUUUACUGUUGUUGUGAUGACUAAUAUUUUCAUGUGUAUAAACCUGUUUGUGCUAUGGCAAUGCCAGCAGCAUCCGUGCACAACUGAGCAUUAUAUUAUUAUACUGUGUCGCCAGUAGUGUGGUUAAACGUUCAGCUAUAGUUGCGAUUUAUCGCGCGAGCUCAUUUCGAGGUGCGUGCCGUCCUAUUAUAAAUACUAUAAUAUCGUUUAUUUCUUACUCGUUCUAUUUUUGGGUAUAAUAUUAUAUUAUGCUAUUGUAUGGAUAUUGUAUUUACAUAGAUUAAAAUAUAAUGUAAUUAAAUACAAAUGUUCUUUUUCAAAAUAAUUAGCGUUCUACGGAAUGUUCUAAUAUACUUAUUAGACAAUUUUUUUAUUAUAAAAUCAGUAUCAUUUGGUCUUAGUGUUUUUUAACCGGUGUUCAAUUUUCAGUUUAAUCCGUUGGAGCUCGUUUCCGAGGAAUUGACGAGCCUAAUGGAUUCGAACAGCAGAGGCCUGAAACGGGCAAAAACCGUCCGUACGGAAUAUUUAAAGGAUGUGGACGACGUACAGAGAUGGCUUCAAGAAGCUGAAGUGAAGGUUCAAGAUCGGGGCAGUGAACCGAAAAAAAUCAAAGAACACAUUCAGGUACGUCUCAAAAUAAUAUAUGUGUUCAAAUAAUAUUUUUAGAUUAUGAGUGCAGAGUGGAGCGAAGAAGCUUAUGGUUGUACAAUAUGUUUAUUUUUUUUUUUUCCUGUGAACAAUUUUUCUACCAGAAAUAUUGCUCCGAUUUAAAAGUGGCGUAGCACUUUUUCCAAAAAGUAAAUCUGACUGGGGAUGUACUUUGAGAGGUAAUUUUUUGAUGUUCCCAGGAGUUUUCCCAAUAAAUAAGAAAACCCGGGAAAAACGUAGGAGAAACGGGAAAAUAGGUACAAUAUUAAACAAAUAUUAUUAAAGAAAAUAUAUAUUGCAUACGUUAUUAUUUUACCAUAAUAUGAAAUAUAUAUUUUUGAAAAAGCAACAUUGUCAUUGAAUUCCGCUCAGAAUAGUUUUUUCGUUAGCAAUCGUUGAUUACAGAUAAACAUUAAAUUAAUCUAUAAUAGUGGUUACACCCGUCCCUAUUAUUUAGGACAGCUAUUAUUAAUUUAAUCUUCUUAAAGUUCGUUUAACAUAUAGGUUCUUAACCUAUAUGGUUCGCGAGUCAUACCAAUAAAAUUGAAAAAAUAAUUUAACGUAAAACGUUAGUGGUUAUCGGAACCGUCUAACCUCACAAUUGAGGUCCUGCGCAACGUUUUUUUUACUAUCUGCUAAAACUUAAAGACGAAUUUAAUCGGUAUAUCCUAGAAUAUGAUGGUUUAGAAUCUAUAGAUAUCCGAAGUAUGAUUCGAAGAUGUUAUUGAGUUACAAAAUGAAUUUUUUUUUUUAUAAGUAAAAAAAAAAAUCAUCAACAGAUCGAAGUGGUUUGAGACUUAUCGAAAGUUCUCUAAGUUGUCUGUAAUGUAAAAACGCUUGGUCUAAUACAACAUUAUUCGGAUGUUUUCUAUCUUAUAUCGGUAAUAUUUUAGUAAUAAUUACAUAGAAAAGAUAAAAUACAUAAUAUUCCAAAGUUCAUUAUUAUAUCCUAUACCUAGUGUUGUAUUUAGCUAUUUGGGGUGGGGGGAGGCUGAUCAAGUUUCAUAUCUUAUGUUUUAUCUACUUUAUUAUAUUAUAUAUUAUACAAUAAUUUAAUAUUUUCUUGAAAUUUUGGGGGAAACUGCAUUUAUAAAUAACUAUCCUAAGAUAAAAUGCCAUAAAUUAAUAGUUAUAAAUACCUACAUACCUAUAUUAUAUUAACGCUUUGUUACAGUUUUGAUGUACAAAAACCAAACAUUUUCAAUAAUUGCUGUGGUGGUUUUGUUUUGUGUUGAUAAGGUUUUUGUAUAUAAAAUAUUACAAGUAAUAGUUUUAAAACAGUUAAUUAAUAUUUAGAUAAAAUAUUUAACAUUUUAUGAACAUAUAUAAUUAGAUAUUUCUCAUUGGUUACUUUUUUUUUAAAUUUUUAUUUUGAUAGUUCGUUGUUGAUUGGAAUAACUAAAAUACUCUUCAUUUAAAAAUGAAAUUUUAGUUAUAUAAUUAUUAUUAUACACGAGUAUUUCACUAUACAAAAGUUUGUUAUUUUUUUUUUUACAAGUUUUCUUGAGUUGUUAAAUUCGUAAAUAUUGUUAUGUAUAAGUUUACUAUAAAAAUAUAUGUAAUGAAAACACAAAUUUUAACAUUUGAUUUUUAUAAUAGGUAAUAUAAAUUCCAUGUUUAUUGAUAAAAAUUUUUUAUUAAAAUCCUUUAUAUACAAUUUUUCAAUGAAAUUAGAUAUUUAUACAUAAAAGUACGGACAUACUUCGCAUGUGGGUGCAGCCACUGUAGUUGGGGAGGUAGGAUACAGACGGGAAUUUAAUGGACCAUAUCUGUAAGCAACGAUAAACCAUUGCCAAUGAAAACUAUUUUGAGUGGAGUUUACUUGAUAGUGUUGCUUUGUAACAAUAUAUGAAAUUAUAUAAUAAUUUUAUAAUAUAAAAUGAUUACAAUAAUGUGAGUUUCCAUGACAACAAUGAUUGAUUAAAAAGAUUUAAAAUUAUAAAAACUUAAUAAUAACAAAAAAUAAAUAAAAACGGUAACCAAUGACAACCUUAUUUUUAAUCCUUUUUAACCUGAAAAACCAGGUUUUCUUCAUUAUCUCGAAUAUUAAUGAGAAUUUCAAAAAUUGACCUCUUUAAAGUACCACCCCGAGAAUAUUUCCUUUCAGAAAAGGUGCUAUAUACUUAAUAAUCGAAGUAUGCUUUCUGGUAGAAAAAGUGUUAAAAUAAAAAAAAUAAAAAAAUAAACAUCAUUGUGAAACUAAUACAUUCCUCGCUCCAUUUAGAAUCUAAAAAUAUUUGGUACAAGUUAUUUUUUUUUAAUAUAGUUACAUUUAAAUUUAACUAAUAUUUUAUUUUUAAAAAUUAUUUUAUUUAUAAUUAAAUUACCUAUCAUAUAAUUGUAGGUAUAAUAAUGGAACUUUUAUUUUGCUUUAUAUUUUUGAUUAUUUCUAAAUUACAAUUAAGUAUAUGUAAAGAAAAAAUUACAAAUUCAUAUUUUUUAUUCAUUUAAUAAUAUUGCGUUAAAUUUGUUGAAAAUAAGUCAUUUAUUUGGCCAACCUGAACUCAUAAGUAUGAGUGUAUGUAACUCAUACAUAUGCAUCAAAUUAAAAGAUAAGAUCCAUCUUUAUUGGUUUUUUUUUUGUGAUUAUCGCACACCUUACCUUUACAGUUGAAUCAUGCUGCAUUGUAUUUUAGUACGGUGUGUGUUGCCUUGUGUCUAGGUUUGUAUUUUAUGAUUUGUUCAGUAUGAAAUAUAUUUAUACAUUUAUAAUUUCAAAAAUAUCUCAAGUACAAAGUGAAAUUAAGUUACCAGUAUAAUAUUAAUUAUUAAUAAUUAAUUUAAGUAUUAGUUUUUAUAUUUCAAACUUUUUUCGCAAGUAUAAUUUUUUUUGUAUGUUUUUAAAAGUAAAAUUUAUUUUUCAUAGGUUUUUAUAUUGCAUAUUUAUUCCAUCACUAAAUCAAUUAGAUUAUUAUUAUUGUUAAUAUGAAUAAUAUUUUAAUACAUACUAUAAAAUAUUGAAAUUGAAUUACAUGAUUUUUUGUUUUAGACAAUCGAGGAUGAGAUUAAUGCAGUUAACGAUAAAUUGAAUAGAGCUAUAAAACAUGGUAAAGAAAUCAUCGAAAAAACAAAAGAUGAAGAGGAAAAAGAAAUGAUUCCAAAAACCAUUGAAUCAUUAGUUGGAAAAAUGAGUCAAGUAAAACUAUGGUUAGAUGAAAAACGUAAUCAAGUAAGUUAUAAACAUACUUGCAAACAUAUAUUUAAAAAAAAAUUGUUUUUAAUAUUUGUUAAAUAAACUUGAGCAAUUGAGUAGUUUAUAAUAUACAAAGUAUCAAAUUUGUUUUAUAGCAGUAGGUAUACUUUGCUAUUAUAAAAUAUUUGAAUUCAGUAUUAUUAACCAUGUUGUAUAAUAAACAAAUGAAAUAAAUCACAAUAAUAAUAAUAAAUUAUAAAGAUAAUAAUUUAUUAUAAAUAAUAAUAAAAAUUAUUUAACUAUCUAGCUGUAGUUAAUAACGAAAUAUUAUAUCAUUUCAAAUAUAAAAAGUUUAUACUACUAUAAAAUAAUGGGCAAUGUUUGUAUAUUAUGAGACUAUUGAUAUAUGAAACUGACAUUAUUAUUAUUAUUUUUAUUUAGAUUGGAGACACAUUGGACGCCUGGCAAAAAUUCCUUUCUGUUUAUGAUUUGGUAAUGGCUUGGUGCGAAAGCAAAACAAAAUAUUUAGAAGAUCCAAUUAAUUUAAGUUCAUUAGAAGCUGCAAAACAAAAAUCCCAUGAAUUUUCGGUAAUUUAUCAUUACAACUAAAUAUUGUAUUUUAAAUUCAACAUAACAUAGAUUUAAUCACGUAGGUAUUGUAACACUUGUUUACAGGUUGCUGUGAAAUCAUGCAAACAACAAACCAAAAACCUAGCUGAAAUGAGCAAAGAAUUGGAUAUUAUUGCCUUAUCAACUGAUGUUGGACAGCUGCCUGAAAAAUUAGAAGAAGCUAAUAAUGCCAAAAAUGAUGUUGAAGGAAAACUUUCAGAAAAGGUAAAUCAUAUUACUUAAAACAUUAUUAAAUAAUAAUUUGUUCAAAAUCUUUGAAUAAAAUAUAUUAUAAUAAAUUACAAUUGAUUAAAAUUAUGAAGAAUGCACUACUGCAUGAGACAUGUGAAGAAUGGGAGCAAUUUGAACGGAAAUUAAAAGAUGUUAAAUCAUUUAUUGACAAGUCUCAAAGUGCCAUAGAAUCUACUACUAAUAAAAAACGAACAUUACGUGAACAACAUGAUCUAAGAGAAAAAAUGUUGGCAGAUAUUACAAUACAAAGAAAAAAGAUUACAUUGUCUACUGAAAAAUUACAGGUUAGAUAAUGUGUAAAAUUGUCUGUUUAAAUAUGCCAUUACCUGGAUUUUUGAAUCUUAAAAAGUGGUGUACAGAAAUAAAGCAUUAAAUUAUUUUUUUGGUAAUAGUUGUAUUCUAUGAACUUGACACAAUAUAGUGAUGAAUUAUUUUAAAAUUUAAAUGUCAUAAUAAAUUUAAAACUUAAGUUGGAAUUCCUAAUAAAAACCUUUUAAAUGAAGAAAUUUGAAAAAUAAAAUAAAAAUAUAAUUAUUCAAUUUAUAUUUGUGAAAUAUGAUUGAAGUUCGGUUACAUGUGUUUUAUAAUUUUGUAAUUUUUACAAUUUUUAUCAAAAUCAAUCUUAAAAUUAAGAAAAUAAAAUAACUACAUUACAAUCAACUUUUUUAUUACUACGUACAACUUAUAAUGAACUUCGUGUUAAAUUUCAAGUGUUUCUGUGUGCAAACCUAUGCGUUUGGGUGUUUAAUGCUAAACUAGUUUUAUUAAUGGUAAUCAAAGAAACAAUUGUUAAAAUUGUUUUUCGUAUCUUUGGUUUACCAUUGUAUUAUGUCACCCAUUUACUUAGUUAACUUAUUAUAUUUUGAACAUGCACAAUUCAUAUUUAAAUGAUUUAAAAAUUCAUAUUAAAUUCUAAAAACAAUACUUUUUGGCGACAUAUUAUGGUAUGCAAAAUACUAAUACACACCUACAAUUAACGUAUAACAAAGCCAUUCAUUAUUGUAAGACUUCUUAGCUCUGCACACAAUUUAAAAAUAUUUAAAUAUUUUCCGUUUUUACAACUUAUUUGAGUACUCAAUUUAAAUAAAUCAGAUUUUCAAAUGUAGUUUAAUUGAAUAAAAAUCAGAUACUUAGUAUUAAAAUAAUACUUUAUACAAGUUCUAUUUAUGUAUCUAUAGUGUAAAUGUAGCUAUUUAAAAAUAUAAAAAUAAAAAAAUGGUUACAUUACUAUAAUCUCAGUAGUUAAAAAUAUUAAUAAGUUUUUAAAAGUACUACACUUUCUUUAUAUUGUAGGUUUUUUAACGUUUAAACUUCAGUAUUUUAAUUAAAUUUUGUAAUAAAAUAACCGUUAUUCAGUGUUCAAUUUUAAAAAUAGCAUUUUUUAAUUCAAAUUCAGACUUUAACGUAAUCUUAAAUUUUUCUGAGUGGGUAAUUCUUAUAGAAUAAAGAUACCUCUUGCAUCAGUUGCCUAAAAGCCAAAGUCAACCAGUAAUGGGUAAAAUUGGUGUGAACAAUUUAAUACACAAUGUAAAAUUUAUUUAUUGUUUUAUAUAAAAUAUUAAUUAAAAAUGUUUUAAUCUAAAAGUGUUUUAUUUUAUUAUUUAUUUUAGAUACAUUUCCGAGCUGGUUUUGGGGGCAGUGAAAACAUAGAACAUUUAUCUGAAGACAAUUUGUCUCAUCUAGAUAACUUAUAUAAAAUUGUAGAAGAACAGGCUCAUAAUUUAGAAGAUAGUCUUUCACAGCUCGAUAGAUAUCAACAAGUAAAUGCGUACUAAUGAUUUGGCAUACAACAAUAGUACCUAACUCAUAUUUGUAUUACAGGAAAUCCAACAUCUUCGGCAAAAAGUCAUAACUGCCGAGCAACAAUUAAGACUCACUCAGAGUCCAACAUAUUUACCUCAUGAUAGACAAAAAGCUCUACUAGAACAAAAUGUAAGUUUUCAUACUAAUUUUAAUUUAAGAGGUAGUUUAUAAAAAAAUUAAACAUUUCUAAAUGUUGGUCUUAUACAGUAUAUUAUAUGCUGAAUUAUACAAUUUUAAUGUAAAAUUGGCUUUCAAAAUUUAUUUGUAGAUAAUCUUAUCAGUUUAAUUUUAAUAAUUGUAGUUGGGAAGAAGGAAUUAAAGGAAAUUAGUGAGAAUAUAUUUUAUUUAUACAUUAAUUACUUAUUAAACAAUUUAAACAUUUAAAUUAUAAUUUGUAAGCAAUUAGUUGUUAUAAAAUUUAAAAUAUGUACUAAGUAAGAUAGAAUAUUAUAUAAUUUGUAAGACAAUUUCGAUGUAUACAUUAAAAAGAUACUCUUCUGAAUGAAAACAUUAAAAAAAAAACCGUUCCAUUGAUUGGAACAUUGCAGGCGUUUCAAGAACAAACACGAGUGCUGCAAAGCAAGAUUAAUUCAAGGACCGAACGAAUCAAACUGAUCAUUCAACGAGGCUCCCCGAUAUCUGACCCAUUAUUAAAUUAACUAGACAUUUAAUUGUAUUUAUUUAACUUCAUAUUCAUUCCAAAAUUCUAUUUAAGCUAUUAAAAAAAAAAAAUUCCAAAAUAAAAAUUAGUUUCUAAAGAAAUUUAUUCGGUCAUGCAGGACGUUCGAAACGCACUGGAAUCAUAUCGGCAUCGUUUGGAUUGCACUGUGAAUGCUGUACGAACGCAUAUCAAUCAUUUUAUUGGUUCCAAUCCUUUGUUGGCAUCUACGUCAUGUACAGAUCCCUUAAAUAAUCUUAAAAAUCUUCAAAAACAAACUUAUGUUAGAAAACCCCGAAUAGUUCUAAAUUCAACUGAACCAAAUCAACAAUCAAUAUUCAAAUCACGAUCACCUUCUCCAUUUUGGAUAAAAGGACAAACUUCUUUGUAUUCUGAAGUUGUCAAAUCUGGUUUUGUAUCAAGAAAUAAUAGUAGAUGCAUGAGCCCCAAAUCAAAAUCAAUAGAAGGACAUAUAAGUCGAAAAUCACAUUUUAAUUUACUUAAAACACCAUUUGUGAGAGAUAGAAGUAAAUCACCUAAAGAUAAGUGUCAAAAGAAUGAUUUUGAAAAAAGUAAAUUGUUUUCCGUGCCACCAAAAACAAUAUUGUUAUCUACCAAUGGAUCAGCAGUUCCAUCUAAAGAAUUCAAAGAUAACUUAAAUAUUAGUACACCUAAUUCACAAAAUAUUAAAAGGCGAUCCCGGUCUAGACGGAAUCAGAAGUCAAAAGACCAUUUCAAAAAUGAAUCCGUUACUGACAAAGUAGUAUUAAAAACUUCUAAAUUUGAAAACAUUAUAAUUAAUCAAAGUAUAAAUACAAAUUUAUCAAUAAAACCGAAAAUUAUUGUGUCAGAUACAAAAAAUCAACAUAAUUGUUGUACAAAUGCUGAAUUUCAAAAUGCACAUCAACCAUUAGCAAAGCCUGAUGUAGAAACCUGUACCCAAACCGACACAGUAGUAGAUGAUUUGUAUGCUAUUUUAAAUCAGAAACUUUUAAAUUCUGACACUGUAAUACCUUUAAACACUAUUGGCACCCUUUCUAAAGCUCAGUUACCCUUAGCUAAUGUGUCUGAUACUGAAUAUUCAAACUGUUGCUUUGAUUUAAAUGAACAACUGAAGGGAAUAUUUGGUUCAGUUGACCAGAAACACUACAAACAUCAUAUUUUUGAUCGACCACGUUCCAAAUCUGACACUCGCGAUCUCAAUAAACUCACACAGAUAUUUAAUAGCCAAAAUACUAAUGGAAAAUACACGUGCUGUUUCGAACGUAGUGCUGAAUCAGUAAAAAAUAUUUCCAGUAGGGACUUUACUUCCGGUAGACGUUCUUUUGAUAAAAUUUUAUCCCCUUUUGGAAAUGUACAAAUGGCAAGUUCAGAUGGAACUAACAAUGAAAGCAAAAAAACCGUAAGAUUAAGUGUGGAAAUUUAAUGUUUUAUAAUUGUAUUGUUUUUAAAAGUAAAUUUAAUGUUUUUUGUGAUUUGAUUAAUAUUUGAUUAGUAUUUUGUUACUUAAUUUGUUAAAAACAUUUUUGGAUUUAUUAUAUUUGUCAUGUACAGAGAAAUUUUUAAAUUUUUGAUUAUAAUUCAAUAGGAAUGAUAGGUACCUAUUCUAAAGAAUUGAUUUUAAAUAUUAUAAAAAGAGUACAGAGAAAACAAAUAAAUAUAUUGUAGACCUAUUUUUAGUCAAAUUCUGAAACUUUAUCUCUAUUCAAAGUAAUUUUUAGAAUACAAUGAUAAAAAAAUAAUAAAUCUUAAAAUGUAUCUACAAAAGUUUAAUUAAAACAAAUCGCACUAACAAUAAUUAUUAUUGUAAAUGUGUUUGUAGUGUAUCAUAUAACAACUAACACAUGAUGGGUGAUUCAAUAAUUUGUUAUCUGUUAACAUAAUAUUAUUUGUUAUUAAGUACAGAGUUAUUGAAAAUAUUUUUUUUUCCAGAGUAUAAAAUCAAAUUUACAAGCACUGGGUGAUGAGAGUAUCCCAUUAGAAUUAGCUAUUAAACCAUUUUUAACAUAUGAUGAAGGACAUAUUGCAAUACAAGAAUUAAAUUCAACACAAACAAUGAUUUCUUCCUUAGUUAAUAGCAAUGAUAAUCAAUCAAAAACCGAAGCAAUAAAAGACCUUACAACAAAUGUUCAACAAUUUGAUAAUAUUUUAUUAGAAUUUGAAGAUGAAGAUAAAGAUGAAUUUGUAAGUUAAAAAUUAUAAACUCGCAUAAAAUUUAAUGCCAAGUUUAUAUAUAUUUUUUUUAUUAAAGGAAAAAUUAUACAAUAUAAGUAUCAAUAUCAAUAAAUUAAAAAAGAUUAUAACUCAAUUCACAAUUUAUGAAGAAAUAGAAGAAUUUAAAGUUUUAAUUAAUCAACUUAAAAUCAUAAUGAAACAAUUUGAAAAUAAAAAUAAAAUUAUUACUCAGGUAUACCAUCAGUUUGCAUUAAAUUACAUUAUAAGCAAUACCUAUAUUUCUUGUAGAAAGAGAAAUAAUUUUAAUGUAUUCAUAUUUGAAAUACACAUAAUUUUUAAUGGAAUUGUUUUUAGAUUAUAUCAAUUGUUAUAUUUAUGAGACUUGUUAAUUUAUAUACUGUUUCAAAUUAAUUUUUCAGCGAACAUUAAAUUAUACAGAUGAUACUAUAAGCUAUUAUGAAAAUUUGUUAUUAAUUUUUAAAGAUAGUGGUUUAAAAAAUGAGGUAAAUAUAUUUUUUUUAUAUAUAUUUCACAAUUCCUUUAUAAUUUUUUGUUAUAUAGGUAUUGUAAUUGUUUUAUACAUUUUUUAGAAUAAUAUAGAAGAAAACAUUUUUGAAUUAAAAAAUAAACUUCAUGAAUUGGAAAUGUACCAAGAAAAUAUUGAAUUCGAAACACGCAUUUUAAAACUAAAACAUAUAAUUGAAAAACUUGAAAUUAUAAAUUGUGAAAUUUCAACAAUGAAACAGGUAUGUUUGCACGUUUAUAAUAAUAUUAUAAUAUCACAUA